rnacentral:rRNA from 1 species
GACGAACGCUGGCGGCGUGCUUAACACAUGCAAGUCGAACGGAAAGGCUCCAGCUUGCUGGAGUACUCGAGUGGCGAACGGGUGAGUAACACGUGGGUAAUCUGCCCUGCACUCCGGGAUAAGCCUGGGAAACUGGGUCUAAUACUGGAUAUGACCUUUCUCCUUAUGGGGUUUGGUGGAAAGUUUUUCGGUGUAGGAUGAGCCCGCGGCCUAUCAGCUUGUUGGUGGGGUGAUGGCCUACCAAGGCGACGACGGGUAGCCGGCCUGAGAGGGUGAUCGGCCACAUUGGGACUGAGAUACGGCCCAGACUCCUACGGGAGGCAGCAGUGGGGAAUAUUGCACAAUGGGCGGAAGCCUGAUGCAGCGACGCCGCGUGAGGGAUGACGGCCUUCGGGUUGUAAACCUCUUUCAGCAGGGACGAAGCGUAAGUGACGGUACCUGCAGAAGAAGCACCGGCUAACUAUGUG